rnacentral:lncRNA from 1 species
GUGUGUGUGUGUGUGUGUGUGUGUGUGUGUGUGUUGCGAGCGCGUGUUUUGACAUCAGAAUCUGCUGAGCGUCUCAGGUCAACAGCAUGAACCUGAUAAUUGUAAGAAAUCAUAGAAACGAACACCUGUUUGUGAGCCCAGCCAUGGGAGAUAGGAUUAGCCAAUUAUGUGGCUGAAUAGAAACCGAUCCUGAAAUAAAUUACUUGGAGUGAUGGCUUGGAGAAGUCAUAGAAACGAACACCUGUUUGUGAGCCCAGCCAUGGGAGAUAGGAUUAGCCAAUUAUGUGGCUGAAUAGAAACCGAUCCUGAAAUAAAUUACUUGGAGUGAUGGCUUGGAGGUCUUUAUAGGAGUUGGGAACUGUCCUGCAGGUUUAGUUAGACGACCAUGUCCUGGAUUCACGGUCACAGCACUUUGGGUAGGUAGACUGCCAAUGCUUGAAUUCGCAAGCAUGCCAUACCCAGCUUUCCUUUAGGUCUGUAUAGACAGUCAUUAUAUGUUGGGUUGGGUUUUAGGUCAAACUGGGCUCUAGUACCUUUGUCUUACCACAAUGUGGUGCUCCUUUUGAUUUCUGACUUCUUUCCUCAUCCAAGGUCUUCAGCUUGUCAGUGCUUUAACUGCUGACCUCAAGGUGAUUGUUCCAAGCUGAACUUAUAUUUUAUACUUGCUGCGUGGAUGGCAGUUCAGUGUUCUAGGGUGAUUUGGGUUGUCAGAUCAGGUUGAUAUGUGCAAUGGUGCCAUGUGGAUGACCAUCUCAGCUAGAGGUAACAGUUGGUAUGAGCCUCAGCCAUCGUCAUGCCAACAUUUUUACUUUGGUCAGAUGAGCAUCCUGACCAACCGACCUCAGUGGUCAAAGCUUAGCCACACAACUUAUUUUAAACGCCUCAGGCAGAGGAAGCGUCAAUUUGAAAAUUUCAUUGUCACAGCAAUAGUCAAAUUGCGACAGGUCAGGCACUAUCUGUUUUGAUGAAGUUGAUAACUGAUUUAAAUUUUAGAAGUUCACUGGGAGGCCGAGGUGUUGGGCCCGACAAACGCUUGGCAGGAAGUUCUCAACCCUCUAACCUAGGACCUCUUUAUGCGGGCGUAACUUAUUUUAAACGCCUCAGGCAGAGGAAGCGUCAAUUUGAAAAUUUCAUUGUCACAGCAAUAGUCAAAUUGCGACAGGUCAGGCACUAUCUGUUUUGAUGAAGUUGAUAACUGAUUUAAAUUUUAGAAGUUCACUGGGAGGCCGAGGUGUUGGGCCCGACAAACGCUUGGCAGGAAGUUCUCAACCCUCUAACCUAGGACCUCUUUAUGCGGGCGUGUAUCACAUUCGUUAAAAUAUUAUUAUAAUAGCGACUUUGUUAUUGAUUUUUUUUUUCCUCGUGUUUUUGGCAGCUUCUUUGCUUCCUGGUACAAAUGACAAUAAACUGGGGAAGACCAGUUGG